rnacentral:rRNA from 1 species
AUGAGUCGGUGGAACCAAAACGUUGGUUGUCGGAGAGGCACCGCUGCGUGCCUUGUCGACGCAGCACCAACAUGCUUUGUGUGCAUGCAGAUGCACCAGCAGCGGCACAUCACAUGCGUGUGCCUCGUGCCUCUUGUUUCUUCUUGGUUGAGAAAAGGCAGUUGGAUUCUCCUCCCACUCCCACGCUAUACAUACGCGGGUGCGCGGCCUCACGCCCACGCCGUCGCCGUUGCCAUCUCCAUCGCCACCCCACCUCCUCGCAUGACAGCGGAGGAGGAGACCCGUCUCAUGGCGCGUGUCAUGGAGGACUCCAUGCGCACGCACGACGAGCACCAAUGGGAGGGCCUCGAGGAGAUAGCUGCCCUCUCUGCGGCCGGCGACGUCGCCAUUCCCGAGCUAGAGAUGGUGCCGAAGGAGGAGGUGAGGGAGGAGCCGUCGGUGGCCGCCUUCCACCCGGGCCUGGUGGGCCAGGGGUGGAGCUAG